rnacentral:sRNA from 1 species
GCUGGGCGUGGUGGCGGGCGCCUGUAAUCCCAGGUACUCAGGAGGCUGAGGCAGGAGAAUGGCUUGAACCCAGGAGUAAGAGCUUGCAGUGAGCAGAGAUCACACCACUGCACUCCAGCCUGGGUAACAGAGCGAGACUCUGUCUCCA